AAGGGGAAAGGAGCACACACAGCAUGUUCCAGCUACAUCAGUUUCUGUACGUCUGAAACGUGUCCUGAUUCUAGAAGAAUGUCUGUUAGAUAGCAUGAAAUACAUGAAAUACAAGUCAUUUGGCACACUUAGGGAGCUCUGUCCUACAAUUCUUUCCCCUUCUGCUUCUCUUGUUGCUAAUCAAACAGCUGCUUUUUGGUUUCAGGCUUUAACCUAUUUUUGGGAUCCUUUUAUGCUAUUGGGCCUUUGAAAUGCAUGAAUUGCUAUGAAAGAAAGCCAGUGUCAUUGCUGGGAGGGAGGAGGAAGGCCUAUAGGUGAAGUCAUGUCUAGUGAUGAGAGACUGUCUCACCUAUUCAUCCCUUCUUUUAUUUCUGUAAAGCAACCCAGUUCCCCAUGGCACAUGGUUCCAGGCCUUUUCUGCUUUUAUUUAAGCUUUACAAUUCUAUCAGCCACAGCCCUUCGUUAGCACAGCACCAGUAGAUAACUCCCUCCUUUGGGGGAAUAUUUUUUUCAUAUUUAGGCUCCUGUUCCCACUGCAGGAAUGUGCUGGCCCAAAGUAGAAAAGGAAGUGGAGGAGCUUUGUUUCCAAGGAAAGAAGCUGGAGAAUAGUGGAGAAAGAAGGAAGCUGUGGAGGUAGAAUCAGCUUAUUGGAAGAGCAUUAAACCUUGUUUCUGUCAGUGGCUGUGUUCUCACUGGCAUGUCAAAUUUCAUUCCUUUUAAAGUCCAAGCUGAGCUCAGCACAUUUUGGAUGAUUAAAAAAGGAUUUUUUAUUUUUGUUCCCUGGUUUCUGACUUUUCUCCUGAACAAUGUUUUUGAUCUGAUCAAACAAUUUUGUUCCUCCAGACAGACCUUUACUCUCAUUGCUGCAUCCAUUGCUGUCUUGAGGCAGCAAAGAGGGUUCCUCUUUGCUCUGCAUCUCUGCACAGUUUCUGUGGAUCUGAAAUUGAAUCAUCUCCAAUGUAUCUGCUAAACCCUGGCUGAAGACAAGAAGGUCUGAACACAGCAAGGUUUGGCUUUCUUUUUUAUGGUUGAAAAAUGUGGUUUGAAUUCUGUGCUACAGAGAAUGUAGUAUUGCAUAGAUGGCAGAUAAUCUGCCAUGUUUUCCCCUGUUUAAAAUACAGCACCCAUGACAGCUGUACAGUGUCUUGUAUUUUUACUGCACAGUAAACAAUGAAGUUUAGGAAACACAUUUUGUUAAGCAGAGCGUGGUUAAGGAGGUAGAUGGUUGGGAAGAAUAAUUCCCCCUAAGAUUACAAGUAUUAAUUCCUAUUUGUUUUUCCUGCCCUUCUUUUUGUAGGAAAAAAUCAGGCAUUUGCUUUCACAUCAUAUUGCAGUUGAAAAUACAGUGUUAAGAUAGUGUUGGAUGACUGGAAGGGAUGGCCCAAUGGAAGUGAUGGAUGGGAGCAGUUGGAGAGAUAGUGAAUGUGUCUGUGAUUUUUGAAAUUAAUAACCAUGGUAUAAAAUAAGUUUUGUGGUUUUAUGUGUUUGACACUGUCCCCAGCAGUAACUCUCCUUUAUGUCUUUGAACAACGCUCAGCAGAGAGUCUUGUUGUUAUAAAUUAAUUUAAUUAAAUUUCUGUUAAUUUAGUGACCUCAACUGAUACCCCAAAGGCCCAGUGACUGGUUGGUCUCAGAUGACCACAAGCUGAAAUUUUGGGAUAAUAUUGCCCUCUAAUAACUUUAUGUGAUGAUUAGUGAUCUCAGAUGACUAUGAGCCAAAAUUUUGGGAUACAGGUCAUGUCUAGUAACCCUAUGUGAUAACUGGUGAUCUCAGAUGACCCCAAGCUGAAAUUGUCCCAGCUUUCAUAAGGAAAAAAAAAAUCAAUAAAAAUACACCAAAGCAAACAAACAAACAAAAAGGCAGAAAAAUCUAAAAACCAAAAUAGUGAAGGGAUUGGAUGGGGAGAAAAGACCAUUAUCCAAAUUAUUCCAAGACAGGAUAGAGACUGGGUCAUAGGGAAAACAUCAGAAAAUGCAAAGUCCAAAUGUGCUGUUCCAAAUGCCAAAAGAGCUCUCUUUACACCUUUUCCCUCCUUUCUUUUUUGUAACCUACAGCCUGCUGGACUUACUCAGAACAUGGGGUCAACGAAAUGCAGAAGGCCAAGAUGACCCAACUUCAGUCCAGAACUCAGUAAGGAGAGCCAUACACUUGUGAAAGGAAGAAGCACUGCAACCUGCUGUCAGCCUGGAAUGUUGGUGUAAAAUCCAUAAAAUCCAUGCAGUUAUGCUGCCUUCACAGUGAAGCUUCCAGCCAGAUGAAAUUUGUAUGUGUGAGGAGUUUGUGCUGGGUGGAAAUACCUGAAAUACUGCAGUUACCUGUUGGUUGAAGAACAAGCAUCCAUGAAUAAAUGUAAUUUUGAAUUGUCCCAUUGACUGACCAACACCACACAAUAAAACAGUCCCUUUCCUGC